UCAAGAAACUUCCACAAUGGGCGAAAGCCUGAUGGAGCGACGCCGCGUGGUUGAUGAAGUCCUUCGGGACGUAAAAACCUUUUAUGGGGGAGAAAGUAAUUGAUGUUACCCCAUGAAUAAGAGGCUCCUAACUCUGUGCCAGCAGGAGCGGUAAUACAGAGGCCUCAAACGUUAUCCGGAAUCACUGGGCGUAAAGGGUGUGUAGGCGGUCGUGUUAGUCUUUCGUGAAAGGUCUUGGGCUCAACCCAGGAACCGCGGAGGAAACGGCACGGCUUUGAGGACGCGAGAGGUAUAUGGAACUCAUGGUGUAGGGGUGAAAUCCGUUGAUAUCAUGGGGAACACCAAAUGCGAAGGCAAUAUACUGGCGCGUUCCUGACGCUGAAACACGAAAGCGUGGGAAUCGAACGGGAUUAGAUACCCCCGUAGUCC
rnacentral:rRNA from 1 species